rnacentral:snoRNA from 1 species
CCCCUCUCAGGGUCGCACCUGGAGAGUUUCCAGUACUCUACCAGUCUUGACUAUGAGAGGGAAAAUCAAGCAGAGGCCUACCCAUCCCAUUCCUAGCUUGGGCAGUGGCUAGCAAGUGGAAGACAUUCUGCUACAAGU